rnacentral:miRNA from 1 species
UAAAUGCAUCUACACUUCGGUGG